rnacentral:lncRNA from 1 species
AUGAUUCCUGGCUGCGUUCCUCAUCUGGCUCUUCUCCGGCUUCCUCGGAUAGUACCUCAUCCCGUCUGUGUCUGGUCUGGUGUUGUCUGCCAGGUCUCCAGCCUCUUUUCUCUCUUCCAGUGUCAAAAUCCCAGUAUUCCUGACUGCGUUCCUCGUCCUGGUUGUCUCUUACUUCCUCAGAUUCUGCAUCCCGCCUGUGUCUCGUCUGGUGCACUCUGCCAGGCCUCCAGCCUCUUUUCUGUCGUUCAGUGUCGAAAUCCCAGGAUUCUUGACUGCGUUCCUCUUCUGGUUCUUCCUCCGUCAGUUCUUCAUCACGUUUGCGUCUAUGUUGGUGGACUCUUCCUCUCCAGUCUCUUUUGUCGAGGCCCCAUGAUUCUUGACUGCGUUCUUCAUUUUCCUCAGCUUCCGAUGGCCCAUCGCUGCGCUUGUGGUACUUUUUCUUGUGGUGAUACCGAUGAGUGGGCUUCCAUAUGCGUUUAUAUCUCUCCUCCUCUCCCUCACUUCUUUUGUCUACAUCCCAGGAUUCCUGGCUGCGUUCUUCCUCAGGUUCUUCUCCAUAUUCCCCCAGGGGUUCCUCGUCUCGUUUGUAUUUUCUUUGGUAGUGUCUCCCGGGCCUCCAUGAAGCCCUCUUCUCUCGAUCUUCUUCACCCUCCUCUCCAUCAUCGGAUCGCUUUUCCUCUAAUCCCCAGCUUUCCUGGCUGCGUUCGUUGUCUUCCUCUUCCUCUCCACGUUUGUGCUUCUUCUGGUGGACCCUCCCAGGCCUCCAGUUGCUUCUCUUCUCCCUCCCUUCCAAUUCGUCCUCAGGCCUCUUGUCCUUAUCGUCAACCAGACUCCAGGAUUCCUGGCUGCGCUCAUCUUCCGGCGUCUCCUUUUUGCCCUCCAAAGGUUUCAGAAGUUUUUCGAUGUCGUUCACAUCUGUCAGUUGAGCCUCAGGCUUCUCGUCUUGACCUUUCACCCUGUCCUCCUUAGCAGCUGUACCAUCAACACUUUUCUUGUCUAAUGGAGCAUGUUUGAUCCCUGUUACAGGUCAAGCAGAACAUCAAAAAUAGAUAAAAAGAGAAGGAUUUCUUUGGAACAGUGGUUCUCAAUCUUUUUUUUUUUGGCUCAAGUACCCCCUUUCUCUUAUUUCUGAAUCCAAGUACCCCCU